GAGGAUUUUCCAUUCCAAGAGAGGCAGUUUGAAGCUUGCAUUCACUAACAGCCUACUUUUAGAGAUCGUGCAAGCUCCUGCUAGCUGACCUCUGAGACACAAUCAGUCAGUGUGUUCAAUUGUUAAACAACAGGGCGAACGUUCAAGGGUACCCAGGCAAGAGUGAUUGCUGUUUUCACUUCACCACUUUUCUCACGUAAAGAGCUGCAGAUUUGGGGAAUCUCAAAAAGAAACAAAAACUGCUGGAGAAACUCAACAGGAAUGGAAGUACCUGUGAGUAGAUUUGAGUAGCUGAAUGGCUUCCUCCUGUUCCUGUGUAACAUACUUGAGAGAAUGAAUGGCUGGGUUAUUAACAGCCACGAAACUGGAUCUGACAGAUGUUCCUCCUGCCUGAGUUACAGAAAAACAAACAACACAAUGGACUCCAGGUUUCCUCUCAGUAAGACCUCAUAAAACUGCAGGAACACUUCCCGAUGUUUUGAAUGAUACCUGCUGCAAAAUGAGCCAACAUUGCAGCUUUAUACUUCUUCAAGUGGUAAUUGGCGAGUGUGGACUGAAUGAUCUCUUCCUAUCCCUCUGUAAAAGGCACAUGGGGUGGAAUUGCUUCUCACUGUUCCUGAGCAGCAGGCUUAAUAGACUUUCUUAAGGCCAUGAACGGAUUUGAUAACAGCGUGUUCAAUAAUAGGAGAAGCAUCAUGCAAAGUCAAUGAGCAAUAACUAUUAUUAUCCUGCUUUAUGACUUCUAGAAAUGUCCCCACUAGUCAUUUUAUGCAUUGUCUGUUAUUUUAUCCCUAUCUCCAUUUAUAAACAGAGUGGGGCAUGCUGUGCAGUGUACUACUAUUAUAUGCAAGCAAGAAAGUUUAAAAAGAUGGGAAGAUUUAUGGUCCAUUCCUCAGCAAUUUCAUUCCUAUCAUCCAGACUGCAUAAAUAUUCCCUUUUAUUGUGAUAUGAAAAACCAUGUAAAGAGGGUGUUAACUGAAUCUGUUUGUUCAGUGAUUGUGAUUAAUUUCAGUCUCCAUGGAUUCUAAUUAUCCAAAUGGAUGGUUCCAUCUUUUAAUGAUAAAUGGACUCCGUUCGAUGUGUUAUCCCAUAGUAUGAGAGGGAGCAUAACCCACAACACUAACAGGAAUCAGCAGCUCCAGAGAGAAGGGGAGCAGAGGUCAGAGUCUGAGAAAAUUAUACUCAAAUACUCCAGCAAUGGAUCAGAAUCUGAGAACAAUAGACUGGAAUGCUGCAACAAUGGACAGGAGUUUAUCUGCAUAUGUUUGGCUUCUUUCUACACAUUAUGAUGGGAUGUCAUUACCAGGGCGGAUACAAUGCACGCUUUACAUUAUUCAAUGCUUUUAUUACCCUAUCCUUGCUGUCAUUGGUGUUGCUGGUAAGACUCACUGUUCGAUUUUUAUUUCUAUAUGCCUUGUUCAACUGUAUUGUUGUUCUUUUCAUUUACUCUACACUCUUAGCUGUUAUUCCUGCUAAGCCUCUGAGUCCAGACAUUCCGCUUCAAAACAGUAUUAACUGUAUCAGUGAACUUGUUCAUGAACUCUCUCCCUUUUGCUACUGGCAGUGUCCUCGUGGGUCUCUAUACUGAGCCAUACCAUUUCUGCUGUGAUUCGUUGCAUUCCUACAAUUGUUAUUUAAAUAUUGGGAGUAUGGAGGUUACUGUCUUCUGUUCUGGUUACAAAUUCCACUGACUCCAUCCCAUCAUGAACCAAUAUCUCAGGUUGAAACAGUUGAAUUACAAUGGCAGUGAUUAUUUUGGCCAUGAGCUGGUCCCUGAUCAUUCAUAAUUUUAACUACUGACAGUCUCAAAAUUUACUUUACUGGCUUGUCAGAUCUGCUAUUUAAACCUUGAGCUAUGAAACACAGUCUUUUUGGUGCCAAUAAUUUUGGACACCUGCUGCACAUAUGGGUUCAGUCCGGCGCAAGAUUUACACCAUCUCUCCCAGAUUUUCAAGGGCCAGCGAGAGCUCACCAGAUGCCAUCGGGAACACAAAGCUUUCCAAGGCAUGGGCCCCUCUUUCAGGGUCAAACCAGUCCAGGGUGCCCUGCCCUUUACAAAGAAAAGAGAACUAUCCCUGGGGGUCUCGCCAAUUUCUUCCGGAUUGUUUGCGGUAUCGCACUGGACACACUGAGGUGCCUGUCUCCACAUCUCUGGAUUCAGAGAUCUGAACCGGAAUCCCUUUUAAUUGGUGUUAUAACAUGCCAGACACUGUUCAUGACACGAUGGCUCAGUGGUUCGCUCUACUACUUCAUAGCACCCGGGACCUGGGUUCAAUUCUACCUGUGGAGUUUGCACGUUCUCCUUGAGCCUGUAUGAGGUUCUUCUGGGUGGUCCGGUUUCAUCCCAUAGUCCAAAGGUGUGCAGGUAGGUGGAUUGGCCAUGCUUUGUUGCCAGCUAUAUUCGGGGAUGUUUCAGAUGGGUGGGUUAGAAAUGGGGAAAUGCAGGAUUAAGGGAAUGUGUCAGUGUGGGAUCAUCUUUGGAGGGGUGAUGUGGACUUUUUGAUCUAGAUGCCCAGUUUCCAGACUGUAGGGAAUUCUAUGAUAUGAUGAGAAUAAUCUGCUGCUGACACUCCCAGAUUCAAACCUGCCUAAGUAGGCCUUGGUCAAUCCUGUACAGCUUGUAUCUGAACUCACAAAAAUCCCAUCCAUGUGUAAUUCCUGUGUGCACUGAACAAUAUUACUCUCAGAUCUGGUAGUGAUUUUAUUUUAAUAUUCUCAAGUACAAAAUCACAUCUAUCCAUGAAAUGUCGCUCAGUCUGUCUAAAUUGAUUCACAAAACACUGUCAGAUUUUCAUGCAUGAACUGAUUUCUUCCAUGUGUGUUGUGGCUCAAAUUUGGACAUGUACAACCGCCCUAUUCCCCCUACACACACACACACACACACACACACACACACACACACACACACAAACACACACACCCGCUUGGUUUGCCCUUGUGCAAUGGAGCUAU